CUAAAUUUAGUUUAUAGAAAACAUUAAGUUGUCAACUUAAAAAUGUAAUAUAUUAUGUUUCAUUUUAGUCCA
rnacentral:tRNA from 1 species